AUCUAGAAUUAAGACACUGAGUGGGAAGAGAGAUACAAAUAUGUCCAUAGAAAUAUGGAAGGUUUUAAGCCAGAAAAUCCUUAAAUGAAGGUCUGUAGCAGUAUCUCUCCAGAUAUUUAAAAAUACAAUGAUCACCAAAAUAUGCUAUAAAUGUUUAAAAUGGACUCCUAUCGAAAGUUCAGAGGUUAAAGAUGAUGUUGUUUAUGGUACUCCUAGAAAUUGAUUCUUCUUUAUUUUUUCUUUUCGUUGAGUUUAAUUGCCACUAGAAUUAUUUUCAAGUUAAGAAGAUAAGAGGAUUGACUUUUUAAACUUCAAAAUGAACUUCCCUGCUGUGACUGACUAUAUUCCCCAGUAUGGAGAAUUAUGAGGAACCUGUUGAACAGAAAAGUCUCUGACCAUAAUCAAGGUCACACAGUCAGAAGGCAUCCCAGCAGACACUCCACACUAGCCAAUGUGGAUUCAGAGACUGCACCCUUGAUUACUGUGUUGUUUGAUGAUACUAGUGCACCUUCAUGAAUCAGAACUUUCCAUAUAUGGAGGUUAUUCAGCAUGUCCUUUGUGAGUAAUGGUUACAGGUAUAAGGUGCAUACAGGUAGAUGUGAAGAAGGCAGUGGAGGAUAACAGGAAAAUGGAAGAGAAUGAGGAAAUGUAUGGUCCUGUGGAAGAAACACUGGAAUUAAGGUCAGAGUUCUCAGCUUUAAAUUCAUUCUGCACCCUUCUAAGAGUAACUGUGGACAAUUUCUUUAAUCUUCUUUUGAGGUUCACUUUCUCCAUCAGCCUGUAGGAGAAUACAGGGUCUGAAAAAAAAAUCCUUGAGAUGCUUGCCUCAUAGGCUCCUACAUCAGAUGAUGUGUGAUGGUGGCUUCCGGCAUCAAUUGCGGGCAAGGCUGAAUCCAGGUUUUGGGGGCCUGAAGCUUAAUCAAUGUGGAGGACCUCUUUGAGGAAAAGCAUGCAAAAUUACAAAUACAAAAUUAGUUUAAAAACAUCUGAGGAAGAUAGAAAACAUUUUAUCUUUCAAGAUAAAAAAAGAAAAGCUCUUUGCCAACAGAAAACAUAAUAUGCGGACUCUAUGGCUAUUGUUUCUGAAAAAUAUAAGAGAUGAUUACAUCACAUUGUGUAUUCUGUAGGAAAAACACUGUAAUGCUUAUAUGGCUAAUAAUGGAAUGAUCUAAGUCAAUAUAUUGUGCAGUUUUGAGUGACAGAAGAAUUACACCAUUAUUCUUUGUAUUUUGGUUUCUGCACUAAGUUAGUCAUGUUCACUGUUUCAUCAUCAAUUAUCAUUCACUCAUUUUAUAAAAUUUUAGCAUCUGCAUUUAAUGUUACUGUAUGGUUUCUGUUUACUACAGCUGGUUGCAAUAGACACAGAUGACAAUUUCAGAGCUGUGUAUAAAAGGUCACAAAAAGUAAACAUUCAAAACAGAAACAUCUUACUUCCAGAAAGUAUAAAAUUGACGUAUGAGUAAGAUGUCAAAAGUUAUGAAAACUGGAAUGUGUUCAUCUCAUUACAUGUAAAUGCAUCUAUUUGAAAAAUGUGUUU
rnacentral:lncRNA from 1 species